UUUUAAAUCUAACCGUUGAUCUGUCCAAACUUAUAUAUUUUUGAAGUAAUCGAAUUCAUUCGACGAUGAAUAUUUUUCCCUUUUCUGAUUUUGUUUCCUAAAAACUUGACGUUGUGCCUGAGGAAGAGACUUUAAGUCUCGAAACAUGUAGCACUUAUAUAAAAAUAAAUUUCUUUCAUCGUU